UGGUAAGUUGGAUGUGAAAUCCCCGGGCUCAACCUGGGAACUGCAUUCAAUACUGCCUCACUAGAGUAUGGUAGAGGGAAGCGGAAUUCCACAUGUAGCGGUGAAAUGCGUAGAUAUGUGGAGGAACAUCAAUGGCGAAGGCAGCUUCCUGGACCAAUACUGACGCUGAGGCGCGAAAGCGUGGGUAGCAAACAGGAUUAGAUACCCUGGUAGUCCACGCCCUAAACGAUGAGAACUAGAUGUUGGGAAGUAUAUCUUCUUAGUGUCGCAGCUAACGCGUGAAGUUCUCAGCCUGGGGAGUACGGCCGCAAGGUUGAAACUCAGAGGAAUUGACGGGGGCCCGCACAAACGGUGGAGCAUGUGGUUUAAUUCGAUGCGACGCGCAAAAGCUUGCGUGCCCGGGACGUGUCAGGAAUCCCGCAGAGAUGUGGGAGUGCCGCAAGGAACCUGAACACAGGUGCUGCAUGGCUGUCGUCAGCUCGUGUCGUGAGAUGUUGGGUUAAGUCCCGCAACGAGCGCAACCCUUGUCCUUAGUUGCCAUCAUUCAGUUGGGCACUCUAAGGAGACUGCCGGUGACAAAGCCGGAGGAAGGCGGGGAUGACGUCAAGUCAUCAUGGCCCUUAUGGGCAGGGCUACACACGUGCUACAAUGGCCGGUACAAAGGGUUGCCAACCCGCAAGGAGGAGCUAAUCCCGUAAAACCGGUCGUAGUCCGGAUUGGAGUCUGCAACUCGACUCCAUGAAGU
rnacentral:rRNA from 1 species